GCGACAGGACGACCUGUUGCCCGCACCGGGCCGCGAUUGCCGGGACGACCCGC
rnacentral:ncRNA from 1 species